UACAGAGGUCUCAAGCGUUGUUCGGAUUCAUUGGGCGUAAAGGGCGCGUAGGCGGCGGGGUAAGUCGGGUGUGAAAUCUCAGAGCUCAACUCUGAAACUGCAUUCGAUACUGCCGUGCUUGAGGACUGGAGAGGAGACUGGAAUUUACGGUGUAGCGGUGAAAUGCGUAGAUAUCGUAAGGAAGACCAGUGGCGAAGGCGGGUCUCUGGACAGUUCCUGACGCUGAGGCACGAAGGCCAGGGGAGCAAACGGG
rnacentral:rRNA from 1 species